rnacentral:rRNA from 1 species
ACGCGUGAGGAACCUGCCUUGGAGAGGGGAAUAACACUCCGAAAGGAGUGCUAAUACCGCAUGAUGCAGUUGGGUCGCAUGGCUCUGACUGCCAAAGAUUUAUCGCUCUGAGAUGGCCUCGCGUCUGAUUAGCUAGUAGGCGGGGUAACGGCCCACCUAGGCGACGAUCAGUAGCCGGACUGAGAGGUUGACCGGCCACAUUGGGACUGAGACACGGCCCAGACUCCUACGGGAGGCAGCAUG